UUCCCGCUUCCAUCCCCAGCGCCGCAUCUCUGUGGGACACCCGACAGCGGCGCGCCGGGGGCGGCCCGGAGGGGCUGAGCAGCUGGGGCGCGGCGGGAGCGUUUGGGACGGAGCUGCACCUCUGACACAGGGCUCUCCGGGCUGCGGGUACAGCGCUGGGCCCAGGGGAUGCCCCGACGGCCCGGGGAAAGCUGCUUAAUGCCCCUCCCGGCGGGGCGCGCACCCCCGAGAGCGGAGCGGCCGCGCUCAGCCGCAGGCGCUCGUUGGUGAGAGAAGCGGAGCAGUUCCGCAGCCUCGGCCGCCACCGCGUGGGAGCAGCCGGAGGUGCAGCUCCUUAUUCCUCCACCCAUCAACCCGUCGGGGCAGCGCUGACCGAACCCCGCACGGCUCCGGGUGGUGCCGCAACCUGAGGUUGGGCUCAGCUGUGCGGGGUGGGCAGCGGGAGCGGAUCGCCAGCACCUGGGGUGAGGGAGGAAAGGGACGUAUAAACGGGCACUGCCCCUUCCCCUGGGUUCCUCUCGGUCCUUGGAGCUUUGCUUUUACUUUGAGGAGCUCUCGUGGUUUUUUUGGGGCCGUCGGUUGAGUUGCAGUGCGCGACCUUGCUGGUAUCUCAGCUGGAUGCAGCUCCUAAUGAAGCUGUGGCCCCGGCCCUGCAUGCACGUGAGCUCUCCUCCCAAAUAUUUUGCACCUGGUGCCACCGGCCCCGCUUCAAAGCAGGGCUCGCACUGGGGCCCUAUGAGCUGGGCACGCACCUCCAGCGGUGGAAUUAGACACUAAGGAAUGAACUCCCAUUAUUUUCCUGUGGAACUGAGCCACUGUUGCCACCGUGCGGGCGUUUGGCAGAGAGAUGCUCCGCAGCCUCAGUGCUGGGGCAGCAGCGAUGUCCCUGCAGUCUGACUGCCCACAACCACCCCUCUGCCAUUGCUACGAAUCGGUGCUGAUUGCUACCAGCGAGCAGUGGGCUGUGCCACCGCAGCUCCUGCACCCGAGGAGGAAGGAGAGGAAGGAAUGAUUUCUGGGGAUCCUUUGCUUCUGCUGCCCCAGCUCUGGAAGCAGGCAGCCUUCAGCUGCUGAGGCUGUUAAUGUCACCUUUCCCAAGUGCUACGCUUGCAAAGCAACCUGCCAAGUAUAGCACGUCUUAAUUUGCUCCUUUCCCAUGCAUUCCUGGAUUUACAGCUUGGUUUCGUCUGGCUGCUGCUUGCUGGGAGGGGUGAAGCCCCUCUGGAGGGCUGCUCUGAGCCUUGUAGGUUCCCAUGCUGCUCCCUGAAAAGCAUCACCCAAACAGAGGUUCAGGUUUGAUUGGGCAGAAAUUGAUCUCCUGGCAUCACUUAUCUAUGCAAUGACUGCAGCAGGCUCCUCUCCCGGCACCCGUACGUUGUUCUGUAUUCUCCUUAAAUGCUUUUUAGGUAGUGUGGAUUCGGCACUGCUGUAAUAAUGUGUAAAAUGAAGAAAAAAUGAAACAGCUUAGGAAAAAAUGCAUUUUCAGUGAUGCCCGUGCUGGGCUGAAAAGUACAUUUGCAGUCGCUUGCCAUCUGCAGCAACUUGUCCAAAGCAAACAUUACCCGUCGGGCCAGGUCUGGCUGCGUAAUUGCCAUAAACCAUCACGAGGGCAUCCAGAAUAGCACAGCCCUGGAACGACUUCGAGGAUUAGGUCCUACUCCCUUGAAAAAUAAACCUUGGCAAAAGCUCAGCUCUCCCUAAUAAAAAUUCCAUUUUCACAGCUCUAAUCAAGUUUUCCAGAGCUGCGGUCCAAAUUAGGAUCUGCGUGCAGAAUAUCCGACCCAGGAGAACGGGAUGGAGCCUUGCAUGGGAAGCUGUGCCAG